GCAAACAGCAAUCUUGUUUGACUCGAAAUCAAGUGUGGUUAAUAGCCACCGUGGGUUCGAAUCCCACCCUCUGCC
rnacentral:tRNA from 1 species